CACGUAGGGUGCGAGCGUUGUCCGGAAUUAUUGGGCGUAAAGAGCUCGUAGGCGGUGUGUCGCGUCGGCCGUGAAAACCUGCAGCUUAACUGUGGGCUUGCGGUCGAUACGGGCAUCACUGGAGUUCGGCAGGGGAGACUGGAAUUCCUGGUGUAGCGGUGAAAUGCGCAGAUAUCAGGAGGAACACCGGUGGCGAAGGCGGUUCUCUGGGCAUGUUCUGACGCUGAGGAGCGAAAGUGUGGGGAGCGAACAGG
rnacentral:rRNA from 1 species